GCAGGCUGCAACUCGCCUGCAUGAAGUCGGAAUUGCUAGUAAUCGUAGGUCAGCAUACUACGGUGAAUACGUUCCCGGGCCUUGUACACACCGCCCAUCAAACCAUGAGAGUUGGCAACACCCGAAGUCGGUAGUCUAACCGCAAGGAGGACGCCGCCGAAGGUGGGGUUGAUGAUUAGGGUUAAGUCGUAACAAGGUAUC
rnacentral:rRNA from 1 species